UACGGAGGGUGCAAGCGUUAUCCGGAUUCACUGGGUUUAAAGGGUGCGUAGGCGGGCAGGUAAGUCAGUGGUGAAAUCUCCGGGCUUAACCCGGAAACUGCCAUUGAUACUAUUAGUCUUGAAUUUUGUUGAGGUAGGCGGAAUAAGUCAUGUAGCGGUGAAAUGCAUAGAUAUGACUUAGAACACCAAUUGCGAAAGGCAGCUUGCUAAACAAAAUAUUGACGCUGAGGCACGAAAGCGUGGGGAUCAAACAGG
rnacentral:rRNA from 1 species